GACACAGCUAUGUUAGCAUAACAUAAACGCAGUGAAGCUGGAGGAUGAAUGCUAACUUUUUUCCCACACGAUAAAUGUUUAUGUGAGGGUUCCUGAUGGUUUAAUGAAUCAAUAGUACAGAAGUAGAAGAAGCAAGAUGGUCAAUAUGAUCAUCCAAUUGCCGAACCCUAUCUAUCGUCGAUCAUUUUUACAAGGGCGAUUUAUUUAUUCUUUUUAUAUUUGCCCAUGAGUAAGUUUGCUAAUAAUGUUGUUUGAAGCUAACCGAAGCAACCAUCACAAAUUAAUAAUAGCACUGUUUUAACGGCACCCUCCUUCAGCUGUGAGCAAACGCACCCUCCUCAGAGGGCGCACAAAUGCAGCAGCGAUUCAUUUACUCAAACUCAUAACAGAAAGAAAGGCAGGAGCCUAUGGCCACAAAAAAACAAAAACAUUUUAUUUUAAUAAAAAACCACAAUGGUGGUGAGGGAAACGAAGAGAAACUGGCUUCAGUGACCAUUCCAGUGUUUCUGUCUUACAAACUUGACCAAACAACAAAUACAAAAUUAAACAAAAAGUAACUUCAAAAUCAAAUCUCUCUUCCAGCGAAAAUAAAAUAAAGUCUCCAAUGUAAAGUUAUGUUUGGUUUCUGUAAUCUGCCUAACAUAGCAGCAAGUGUUAUAAAUGUUCAUGAGUGUAAACAAUAAAAGCAGCCUACAGAGGGAAGGAAGUUUAAGUGGGUUGGAGGCAACUACUUCCCUCUCGCGAGUGGAAAGUUGAGCUCUGUGUGAUCUCGUUCCUGAGUGGAUUUCUGUUUAUCCAGCAGUAUCAGAGGUGAAACUCUGACACUGGUGUCACCUCGACACUACCUCUGUAAAAAGUGAAAAACCUGUUGAUCUAGAAUGUAUCAUGGCAUUUAAAUACACAUCUAAAUGGAUGUUGUUUAGGGAGUCUACAUAGCAGUUUCCAAGGAUCCUUUUUUCAUUUUACAUUGCCUGCAUGGUUCAGGCUAUAAGGGUAGCACACAUUGCUCCACAGUGGCAUGGCUACAAUUUUAAGUGGCAAUAUUGUUUUAAAUCAUUAUACCGAACUUAGAUUGCACAUUGGGGGAAAAGAGAGAACUUUGAAUGUGUGCUGAUAUGGCUUUGGUCAUGGGCCUUAUGUUUGUUAAAUCCUAAAUAACCUGUGUAGAAGAUAAUUUUGUUAUAUACUAAGAUGCAGCUUUCUUUGUCCCGUAUCUGUGUUAAUCCCUCGACCCCUACAUGUAGAGGAAGUUCUGGCUUGCAGGAUCUUCACAAUUAAGGCAGUAUCUUGCUUCCUGUCUCUGGAGAAGAGAAUACUUGUUUAAAAUGACUGGAUUUCUGCCUGGCAACAGUGUAAAGCACUAGAUUUCCAUAACAUCUGCCAAACUCUCAGCUGUGUAGCAAAAACCUUUGACUAAUGCAUCUUUUGUUUUGUUUUUUCCACAGCUCUGCCUCUACAAAUUUAGAAGGCUGUUUGAUUACAAGAAGCACAUGUUUUCAGAUGUACAUCUCCAGAAACUGAAAGAGCUUUUCCCAAAUGAUACGUUUCAGAAUGUUGCCAAAGGUGUACCUCAUAUCAUUUUUGUGGAUCCAGAAAAAAAGAAUUGCCUCAAACAUCCCUUGUGGGCUUGUCUGCGCUGAGUCUGUGUUUCAGUCCAGAGGCGCGGACCUCUUUUUACUUGUGUCACAUCUGUGGUGAGAAGAGUUUACCUAGUGAUGUCUUAAGGCACUUCUUUUCUAUGGACCAUUACAGCAACUACAUUAAUUGCAUGGAUCCCAAUGCAAUGAGUUUCUCCUGGAUCCCCAGCAA